UACGGAGGGUGCAAGCGUUAUCCGGAUUUACUGGGUUUAAAGGGUGCGUAGGUGGGUAGGUAAGUCAGUGGUGAAAUCUUCGAGCUUAACUCGGAAACUGCCAUUGAUACUAUUUAUCUUGAAUUAUCUGGAGGUAAGCGGAAUAUGUCAUGUAGCGGUGAAAUGCUUAGAUAUGACAUAGAACACCCAUUGCGAAGGCAGCUUACUACGGAUACAUUGACACUGAGGCACGAAAGCGUGGGGAUCAAACAGG
rnacentral:rRNA from 1 species